rnacentral:misc_RNA from 1 species
UUGGGAAUACAGGGAUCUACAAAUAUUCCUUUCUCAAGUGAUUCCGAUGCUGGUUGAUAGUCCACCGAGACAAGUGAUUCCCUCAAUGCUUCAAAUGCAGCAUUCUGGCCAAAAUGAAGAAAGCUAUGGCUGUAGAUGCUGUAAGUAAUAUUCCCAAACUUAACAGUGCGUGAGAACUCAGGAGGCAUUGGAUCAUUUGAAACAAAAGUUACCUGAGCAGAAGCUCCACCAAGUUCAAUAAUCCCAGUUGUUUCACGAGGAUCACCUCCAAGAGUACCCAUUGCAUAGUUGGCAACAACCCAAGCAUAUACCCCCUC